UCUUUGCUUCUUGUUCCUGCCUCUUGGAUGCUUCAGCAACUCCUCGAGCUUCUUCCUCAGCUUUCGAUUUUUCAAGGGCUUCUGCAUAGGCCUUUCUCCGACCAUCCUCAGGAAUGACGCUAAAAAGUUCAUCCACAGUCUUUGGCGGUGCUGAUGGAUCAGCAAAGACUUCGACAACCUUAUUUUCUGCCACCGCUGUGUUGGAG
rnacentral:misc_RNA from 1 species